UGACGUGCAUGUUUCAAGAUUUCGUUCACUUGAUUGUCAGCCCAUCCUCCAAUCAGGGUUUGCUCAAUUCCCUGACAGAUCUCAGAUCUCAGGCCAGGGACCAGACAGGACUUUAGGACAGCUUCAAACGGUGAUUUUUUGAUUGUAUCAAACAACACUCUGGGAUUCUUCUU